AGUGAACGCUGGCGGUAGGCCUAACACAUGCAAGUCGAACGGCAGCACAGUAGGAGCUUGCUCUUACGGGUGGCGAGUGGCGGACGGGUGAGGAAUACAUCGGAAUCUACUUUUUCGUGGGGGAUAACGUAGGGAAACUUACGCUAAUACCGCAUACGACCUACGGGUGAAAGCAGGGGAUCUUCGGACCUUGCGCGAUUGAAUGAGCCGAUGUCGGAUUAGCUAGUUGGCGGGGUAAAGGCCCACCAAGGCGACGAUCCGUAGCUGGUCUGAGAGGAUGAUCAGACACUCUGAAACUGAGACAGUGUCCAGACUCAUACGAGAGGCAGGAGUGGAGUAUAGUAGACUAGGGGCACACGUCUGACCCCCCCACCCCGUGUGGGUAGAAAAGCUCCUCGUGUUGAAACGCCUUUGUUGGGAAAGAAAAGCAGCAGGUUAAUACCCCGCUGUUCUGACGGUACCCAAAGAAUAAGCACCGGCUAACUUCGUG
rnacentral:rRNA from 1 species